CUGUGUGGACUGAGGAGCAGCCUGCUCACCAUGGCCUGGGCCCCCGUGCUCCUCGUGCUGCUCUGUCACUGCACAGGUUCCCUCUCCCAGCCUGUGCUGACUCAGCCGCCCUCUGUGUCUGCAUCUCCUGGAGCCACAGCCAGACUCACCUGCACCCUCAGCAGAGACCUCAGUGUUUGUAGUGAAAAUAUGUACUGGUACCAGCAGAAGCCAGGGAGCCCUCCCCGGUUUUUCCUGUACUACUACUCAAACUCAGACAAGAAGCUAGGACCUGGGGUCCCCAGUCGAGACUCUGGAUCCAAAGACACCUCAACCAACACUGCACAUUUGGUUAUCUCUGGGCUGCAGCCUGAGGACGAGGCCGACUAUUACUGUCAGGUAUAUGAAAGCAGCGGCUGGCACAGUGACAGAGACACAUGA